CAGAAUUCAAUUUGUGCACAUAUGAAAACGUUAAAAAAACGCGGACUUUACAGAAAAAUGCAAUUUUUCACCACACAAUAACGUUAUGCAGCAAUAUCAAGAAUUUAGCUAUUAAGGAAGCAAUCUGUGCGACAUGAUUAUCCGUGUUUUUCCUCCACAAGCCCCGUUGAAGCUAUUUUCGUAUCAUCUGUUAGACCCCACCGAAGCACACCAGAAAAUAAAACGUCGAGACAUCAUUUGGCGAAAUAAAAGACAGAACUGUUAUUUUUGUUGCUACGGGAGGCG